rnacentral:rRNA from 1 species
UACGUAGGGUCCGAGCGUUGUCCGGAAUUACUGGGCGUAAAGAGCUCGUAGGUGGUUUGUCGCGUUGUUCGUGAAAACUCACAGCUUAACUGUGGGCGUGCGGUCGAUACGGGCAUCACUGGAGUUCGGCAGGGGAGACUGGAAUUCCUGGUGUAGCGGUGAAAUGCGCAGAUAUCAGGAGGAACACCGGUGGCGAAGGCGGUUCUCUGGGCAUUACCUGACGCUGAGGAGCGAAAGUGUGGGGAGCGAACAGG